AUUGAACGCUGGCGGCAGGCCUAACACAUGCAAGUCGAGCGGAUGAAGGGUGCUUGCUCCUGGCUUCAGCGGCGGACGGGUGAGUAAUGCCUAGGAAUCUUCCUCGUCGUUUGUGAUUACGUCCGGAAACGGGCGCUAAUACCCCAUACGUCCUGAGGGAGAAAGUGGGGGAUCUUCGGAUCUUUCGCUCUCUGAUGAGCCUAGGUCGGAUUAGCUAGUUGGUGGGGUAAAGGCCUACCAAGGCGACGACCCGUAACUGGCCUGAGAGGAUGAUCAGGCACACUGGAACUGAGACACGGUCCAGACUCCUACGGGAGGCAGCAGUGGGGAAUAUUGGACAAUGGGCGAAAGCCUGAUCCAGCCAUGCCGCGUGGGUGAAGAAGGUCUUCGGGUUGUAAAGCACUUUUGGUGGGGAAGAAGAGCAGUAAGUUAAUACCUCGCUGUUUUGACGGUACCAAAAGAAUAAGCACCGGCUAACUUCGUG
rnacentral:rRNA from 1 species